GAGACACGGUCCGGACUCCUACGGGAGGCAGCAGUGGGGAAUAUUGGACAAUGGGCGAAAGCCUGAUCCAGCAAUACCGCGUGUGUGAAGAAGGCCUUCGGGUUGUAAAGCACUUUAAGUUGGGAAGAAAAAACUUCAAUUAAUACUUGAAGUCUUGACGGUACCGACAGAAUAAGCACCGGCUAACUCUGUGCCAGCAGCCGCGGUAAUACAGAGGGUGCUAGCGUUAAUCGGAUUUACUGGGCGUAAAGCGUGCGUAGGUGGUGGUUUAAGUCUGCUGUGAAAGCCCUGGGCUCAACCUGGGAAUUGCAGUGGAUACUGGGUCACUAGAGUGUGGUAGAGGGAUGCGGAAUUUCUGGUGUAGCAGUGAAAUGCGUAGAGAUGUGGAGGAAUACCGAUGGCGAAGGCAGCCAUCUGGCCUAAUACUGACGCUGAGGUACGAAAGCAUGGGGAGCAAACAGGAUUAGAUACCCUGGUAGUCCAUGCCGUAAGCGAUGAGUGUUCGUCCUUGGUCUGCCUGCCUACUAGGUAGGAUUAGGAUCAGGGGCCCAGCUAACGCGUGAAACACUCCGCCUGGGGAGUACGGUCGCAAGACUGAAACUCAAAGGAAUUGACGGGGGCCUGCACAAGCGGUGGAGCAUGUGGUUUAAUUCGAUGCAAC
rnacentral:rRNA from 1 species